rnacentral:lncRNA from 1 species
UUUUGAUCUGCAUGGAAGCCCUGCCCUUUGAAGUCGCUCAUGGACCCAGACUGAUAGAGGAUCUGUCUCAGCACAUGCUUCAAGAUUCUCAUACGUACAGAAAACAGAGAACAUGGUUAACCCUGAGCUGGCUCCUAAAGCUUCUUCCCAGAAGAUACACACACCACUUAGCCAAAGUAAAUCACAUAGGUAUGUUUAAGUUUAACAAGGCAGGGAGGCACGUAGAAUAUUUGUGAACAAUAGUACAGUUAGCCAUAUUAAUUGUAAUGACUUUAUCUGGACAAGCAUAGCUUGUUUUACUGUACUUUGCCUUGCUGUCCUUCACAGAUACUGCAUUUUUUUUUUUUUUACAAAUUGAAGGUUUGUGGCAAUCUUGCAUUGAGCAAGUCUGUUGGCG